rnacentral:lncRNA from 1 species
AUCAGAAUAACAUUUGCAAAUUAUCACAUCUUCUGUGGAUUUUAGAUGCAGCAUAUGUUGGAAGAGUGACACUUGAAAGAUAGCCAACACUGAAUAGGCAGAAAGCCUAGUACAUAUACCUAGUCAUGAUUCAACUCAUUGUUUAUAUCCUUAAUUAGAACUUAGAAGUCAUUUGCAAAAAAGAUAUGCCAGUUACUACAACCAUUGGCACUAUAUAUUAAAGUGUCUAACGGGCCUACGGGUCUAAUGGGUUCGGGUUCAUACGGAUAAAAAUUAAACCGUACGGGUUACCGGUUGAGGGAGUGGGCUGGGCCGGGGUUAGUAUUUUUUUUUUUUUGGAUUUUGGAAGAUGAAAAAAAUUGCACUUAUAAAUUGCAAGUGCCACAUUUAUUUCAAAAUUACAAAAUUAAAGUUCACAUUUAAAAAGUAAAUUAACAAAUAAAUAGUAAAAUAAAUUUUCAUGCAUAAUAAAUUAAUAAUACUUCAAAUUAAUCUAACAAACUAAAACAUUAAGUAUAAAUAUGUCUAAUAGUUUAAAAUAACACAAAUUGUCUUAAAAUCUUAAAAUAACACAUAUAUAACAUAGUUUAAAAAUAAUGUGUUACCAUAUUAUUCUAUGAUUUGAGUAUUUAUAGUUUUAUACCCUAAAUAUAUACACUAUAUGUUAAAUUCCAACAAUUUUAAAUUAUGUUAAUUAGUAUACAAUAAUUGGUAUAUUCAUGGUAUAUUUAUGGUAUAUUCACGGUAUAUUUAUGUUAUAUUCACGGUCCAGGCUGAUCCUGUCCGGGCUUGUUAACCGAUUUAACGACACUGUUCAUCUAACGGAUUUUACCGGGCUGGGUAACCUGCUUUAAAAUUUUAAACCGUCCAAACCCCCACCAAUCCCCUACCUAGCCCAGCCCAGCCCCCCUUACCGGUCUGGGCCAAUUCCAGGUUCUACGGAUCUAGGCCGGUCCGGAACCGGGCUGACCCGGACCAUUUAACACCCUUACUAUAUAUUAGGGAAGCAUCUCAAUUGAGCGGUAUGAAAGGAAAAAGAGAAGAGAAAAAUAAGAUAUGUAAAAUCUACUCUGGAUGUAUAACUGGUCAGAGGAAUUCAUUUUGGACAUUAUUUCGAAAAAUAUGAUCAGAAGAGUUUAAAGCUUCAUAGACAACAUCAACUUAAGAAUCUACACUUCAGAGAAAAUUAUCUUAAACAUAUUGCUAUAGAGGGAAAAAACAAUCAGAGGAAAAAUCUUUAACUACUAACAGUUUUGCUCAAAGAAAUCAUAACUACCA